rnacentral:rRNA from 1 species
GAUGAACGCUGGCGGCGUGCCUAAUACAUGCAAGUCGAGCGAACAGACGAGGAGCUUGCUCCUCUGACGUUAGCGGCGGACGGGUGAGUAACACGUGGAUAACCUACCUAUAAGACUGGGAUAACUUCGGGAAACCGGAGCUAAUACCGGAUAAUAUAUUGAACCGCAUGGUUCAAUAGUGAAAGACGGUGUUGCUGUCACUUAUAGAUGGAUCCGCGCCGCAUUAGCUAGUUGGUAAGGUAACGGCUUACCAAGGCGACGAUGCGUAGCCGACCUGAGAGGGUGAUCGGCCACACUGGAACUUAGACACGGUCCAGACUCCUACGGGAGGCAGCAGUAGGGAAUCUUCCGCAAUGGGCGAAAGCCUGACGGAGCAACGCCGCGUGAGUGAUGAAGGUCUUCGGAUCGUAAAACUCUGUUAUUAGGGAAGAACAAAUGUGUAAGUAACUAUGCACGUCUUGACGGUACCUAAUCAGAAAGCCACGGCUAACUACGUG